CCCUUAGAUGUCCUGGGCCGCACGCGCGUUACACUGAUGCAUUCAACAAGCCUAGCCUUGACCGAGAGGUCCGGGUAAUCUUUGAAACUGCAUCGUGAUGGGGCUAGAUUAUUGCAAUUAUUAAUCUUCAACGAGGAAUGCCUAGUAAGCGUGAUUCAUCAAAUCGCGUUGAUUACGUCCCUGCCCUUUGUACACACCGCCCGUCGCUCCUACCGAUUGAAUGUGUUGGUGAGGAGCUCGGAUUGGCAGCAGUUGGUGGUUCGCCACCGGCUAUUGCUGAGAAGUCCUCCAAACCGCCCCAUUUAGAGGAAGGAGAAGUCGUAACA
rnacentral:rRNA from 1 species